UUAAUGAAUAAACCUGGUUUGCUGUUGCUGGCUCUUCGGAGUAAUGUGCACGCUUAUCAUCUUUAUAUUUCCACCUGUGCACCUUUUGUAGACUUGGGAUUAUCUCUCGAGGUAACUCGGAUGUGGGUUUGCAGUUGUGAAAACUCUGCUCUCCUUGUAUUAUCCAGUCUAUGUUAAUUAUAUACACCAUUAGUAUGUUUAUAGAAUGUCGUUAUUAGGAUUUCAAAUCCUUUUAAUCAAAUACAACUUUCAGCAACGGAUCUCUUGGCUCUCGCAUCGAUGAAGAACGCAGCGAAAUGCGAUAAGUAAUGUGAAUUGCAGAAUUCAGUGAAUCAUCGAAUCUUUGAACGCACCUUGCGCUCCUUGGUAUUCCGAGGAGCAUGCCUGUUUGAGUGUCAUUAAAUUAUCAACCACUUCUACUUUUAUUAGUUGAAGCUGGCUUGGAUGUGGGGGUUGCCGGCUUUUCUAAUAUAAAAGGUCGGCUCUCCUUAAAUGCAUUAGCAGAACCUUAUGUGAAUCAGCUAUUGGUGUGAUAAUUAUCUACGCCAUUGGUUGUGAAGCAGCUAUAUACGGGGUUCAGCUUCUAACCGUCUGAAAGGACAAUUAUAUGACAAUUUGACCUCAAAUCAGGU
rnacentral:rRNA from 1 species